rnacentral:misc_RNA from 1 species
CUCGUUUGUGUUCCUUUACAGUGUUGCGUGGCUGCUGGCAGCGACACCGCGCUGUUCUGUGUUCGUGCGUGUCGCUCCGUGGACUCUCUGCAACUUGCGCUACGUCGCCCCUCACAGAGUAAAGCGGAGCAUGCGAAAACGCGCUCACCAGAAGCGUAGAUCAGCAGCUUCGGCACCAUCCGCGGGAAGACGCAGACGCGCAAAAAGGCGAUACAGAGGAACCUCGACCCCUUCCUCACUCUCAGCUCUGGAGUGCUCGUUUCAGCUGUAGGAGCCACGAGCUGCAGCGCGCGAGCAGCAGUCGUUUAUGGUGGUACUCGUCGUCGUCGCCUCCCCCUCUGAAGCCACGUUGCAGCGCUGGCGACGACGAAGCUGUCAUUGAUCAACUGGUGUCGCCCCCUGAAGCCCUUCGUGCACCUGUCGCCUGGCAUCACGUCGGUGGCGCUGGGGGUGUACGGAAGGUGUCUGUGAGAGAGCCGAUUGAGUGUGUUAUUCAAAGCACUGUUAGUGCGGUCAGGAAGCGUUUUUGUUUGCUGCACCCCUCCUUCUUCCUCUUACGCGGCGGACCUCUUUCACUUUUUGUUGCCCUUGGUUACGGUAGUGCCGUGUGCCGUGUGUCGCUCCUGUUGCGUUUGUGUGCUUCGUAUUGCUCUGUGCUUGCUUAACGAUCUUCUUUCUGGGUGGUGUGGACGGGUGGGAGCCUAUUUCAUCGCGGAGCCGAAGAGAAAGCCUCUCCAGGCACCUACGCGUCUUUAUUGAAGCCGUCAGUGUCAUCUCCUGAGCUGUGUGUUUCCCUUCCAAACGAACG